rnacentral:rRNA from 1 species
GACGAACGCUGGCGGCGUGCCUAACACAUGCAAGUGGAGCGACGAACCGGACUUCGGUCCGGGGCAAAGCCGCGAACGGGUGAGUAACACGUGGGUAACCUGCCCCGAUGAUUGGGACAACCCGACGGGAAACUACGGGCUAAUACCGAAUGUGCCCUACGGUCGCAAGACCGCUGGGGAAAGGAAGCUUCGGCCUCCGCAUCGGGAUGGGCCCGCGGCCCAUUAGCUUGUUGGUGAGGUAAAGGCUCACCAAGGCCACGAUGGGUAGCUGGUC